rnacentral:rRNA from 1 species
GAUGAACGCUGGCGGCGUGCCUAAUACAUGCAAGUCGAGCGAACGGACGAGAAGCUUGCUUCUCUGAUGUUAGCGGCGGACGGGUGAGUAACACGUGGAUAACCUACCUAUAAGACUGGGAUAACUUCGGGAAACCGGAGCUAAUACCGGAUAAUAUUUUGAACCGCAUGGUUCAAAAGUGAAAGACGGUCUUGCUGUCACUUAUAGAUGGAUCCGCGCUGCAUUAGCUAGUUGGUAAGGUAACGGCUUACCAAGGCAACGAUGCAUAGCCGACCUGAGAGGGUGAUCGGCCACACUGGAACUGAGCCACGGUCCAGACUCCUACGGGAGGCAGCAGUAGGGAAUCUUCCGCAAUGGGCGAAAGCCUGACGGAGCAACGCCGAGUGAGUGAUGAAGGUCUUCGGAUCGUAAAAAUCUGUUAUUAGGGAAGAACAUAUGUGUAAGUAACUGUGCACAUCUUGACGGUACCUAAUCAGAAAGCCACGGCUAACUACGUG